rnacentral:ncRNA from 2 species
AUGACGCGCGCGGGAGAGCCCCGGCAUCCGCUUCUUCGGAAGCAGAGCCGAGCACCGAAGGAGCAAGCCUCCCCGCCAAUCUCUCAGGUCCGCGUACCGCCCGCGUCCG